rnacentral:sRNA from 1 species
UCUCAAAAUCAUUCCAAAACAGGCUCUAAAUAUUGGUUAUGAGCCUGUUUGGGAGUGAUUUUGAGAA